AGUGAACGCUGGCGGUAGGCCUAACACAUGCAAGUCGAACGGCAGCACAGUAAGAGCUUGCUCUUACGGGUGGCGAGUGGCGGACGGGUGAGGAAUACAUCGGAAUCUACUUUUUCGUGGGGGAUAACGUAGGGAAACUUACGCUAAUACCGCAUACGACCUACGGGUGAAAGCAGGGGAUCUUCGGACCUUGCGCAAUUGAAUGAGCCGAUGUCGGAUUAGCUAGUUGGCGGGGUAAGGCCCACCAAGGCGACGAUCCGUAGCUGGUCUGAGAGGAUGAUCAGCCACACUGGAACUGAGACACGGUCCAGACUCCUACGGGAGGCAGCAGUGGGGAAUAUUGGACAAUGGGCGCAAGCCUGAUCCAGCCAUACCGCGUGGGUGAAGAAGGCCUUCGGGUUGUAAAGCCCUUUUGUUGGGAAAGAAAAGCAGCAGGUUAAUACCCCGCUGUUCUGACGGUACCCAAAGAAUAAGCACCGGCUAACUUCGUG
rnacentral:rRNA from 1 species